CAGUAGCCACGGGAAUACGAAGGGUGCAAGCGUUACUCGGAAUUACUGGGCGUAAAGCGUGCGUAGGUGGUUUGGUAAGAUGGAUGUGAAAUCCCCGGGCUCAACCUGGGAACUGCAUCCAUAACUGCCUGACUAGAGUACGGUAGAGGGUGGUGGAAUUUCCUGUGUAGCGGUGAAAUGCGUAGAUAUAGGAAGGAACACCAGUGGCGAAGGCGACCACCUGGACUGAUACUGACACUGAGGUGCGAAAGCGUGGGGAGCAAACAGGAUUAGAUACCCCUGUAGUCCCUGUCUCUUAUAC
rnacentral:rRNA from 1 species